GAGAGACCAUCAACACCGUGCAGGCCGGUCUGUGCUUCACAGGGCUGGCUCCUGCCUUCCUCCUUUGUGAACUCAGGGAUUCAUGGAGCUAAGCCAUCAACACCUGGCUGAGAAGUAGGGCCUCUCCACCUUCCUCCCACUCUGCUCACAAAUGGCCCUGAGGAGUGUCAGAGAUCAAAGGGGCCAGCGCCCUGGCCUUCUGCUGCUCAGCCCCAUAACUGCCCUCAGAGGACGGGAAUUCACACCUGCUGGUGGUGGAGGGGGCCCAAGGUGUGGAGGACUGUGUUGGCUGCGGCAUCAUCUGCAAAGUUCCUUGGCUUGAGGCCUCUGAUCCUGCUUUCCACAAGCUGACUGGGUGUCACCAAGGCCCCAGAAGGGCCCGGAGCUCCCCCUUCUCUCACCCACUCCCCGAUUAUGUGCUCCCAGCACAGCUCUGCAGCCAGAGGGUGAGGCUGCAAGCGAGAUUCCGAGGCUGACUGAUAGGCCUUCACCAGGCGGAGCCAUCUUGAAGGAGAAAGAGGGAGACGGGGACGCUGUUGUGAAUGGGUGGAUACGUCAAGAUGUGAGAAACUGAAGCUAGUAGCUGGAGUGGAUCCACAGGGAUUUCUAUAGGCAGCCGAGUUUCCUGAACUUUUCCCGUGAAACUGACUUUGCUUUAACGAGAGCAACUGCACUGGCCAUUCCCACAGGUAUCUCUAGCCCCUCGUCUACGUGAAAUGAGUGCAUUCACUCAGAUAAAUCUCUAAAAUGGUGGCUGGAGGCUGUUAUUAGGAGGCUAGUAAAGAUUUUAUGCUUGAUAUAAUAUUGCCUGUGACUUAGCCACUGUUGUAGAACAAUAUUUUGCCUGAAACUCUUCAAAUGAUGUUUUGGUAGCUGUUUCUGCUCAUUUUGGUUAAUGUUUUUGCAGCAAUAAGUCUGAGCAGCUGGAUCUUUUGUUCCUCACACAGCAUAUUCCAGGUGGGCUGCCUGAAUCCUGCAUCCUAAACCCUAUAAAAUACCAUUUCAGGAACAACUGGGUUUUUGUCUACAAGAAAUUAUCCCUAUAAUAGCUUGUAUAUGCCGUGAAGUAAUGAGAUGGUUGUUAAUAGAAAAAUAUUUCCUAGAAUAGACCAUUUUUAUUCAAACAUCUGCCAACAUGAAAACUAUGUACACAGCAUUGCAAUGGAGUCAUCGCUUUCCUAACAGUUUUCCUACAGCCUGAUACCCACACCAUGUACAACCUGACUGAUACACCAUUUACAGCCUGACUGACUGACGCCCACACCAUUUACAGCCUGACUGACUGACACCUACACCAUUUACAGCCUGACUGACUGACACCCACACCGUUUACAGCCUGACUGACUGACACCCACACCAUUUACAGGCUGACUGACUGACACCCACACCAUUUACAGCCUGACUGACUGACACCCACACCAUUUACAGCCUGACUGACACACACACCGUUUACAGACUGACUGACUGACACACACACCAUUUAUAGACUGACUGACACCCACACCAUUUACAGCCUGACUGACUGACACCCACACCAUUUACAGCCUGACUGACUGACACCCACACCAUUUACAGCCUGACUGACUGACACCCACACCAUUUACAGCCUGACUGACACCCACACCAUUUACAGCCUGACUGACUGACACCCACACCGUUUACAGCCUGACUGACUGACACCCACACCAUUUACAGCCUGACUGACUGACACCCACACCGUUUACAGCCUGACUGACUGACACCCACACCAUUUACAGGCUGACUGACACCCACACCAUUUACAGCCUGACUGACACCCACACCCUUUACAGCCUGACUGACUGACACCCACACCAUUUACAGCCUGACUGACUGACACCCACACCAUUUAUAGCCUGACUGACACCCACACCAUUUACAGCCUGACUGACACCCACACCGUUUACAGCCUGACUGACACCCACACCAUUUACAGCCUGACUGACUGACACCCACACCGUUUACAGCCUGACUGACUGACACCCACACCAUUUAUAGCCUGACUGACACCCACACCAUUUACAGCCUGACUGACACCCACACCAUUUACAGCCUGACUGACUGACACCCACACCAUUUACAGCCUGACUGACUGACACCCACACCAUUUAUAGCCUGACUGACACCCACACCAUUUACAGCCUGACUGACUGACACCCACACCAUUUACAGCCUGACUGACUGACACCCACACCAUUUACAGCCUGACUGACACCCACACCAUUUAUAGCCUGACUGACACCCACACCAUUUACAGCCUGACUGACUGACACCCACACCAUUUACAGCCUGACUGACACCCACACCAUUUACAGCCUGACUGACACCCACACCGUUUACAGCCUGACUGACUGACACCCACACCAUUUAUAGCCUGACUGACACCCACACCAUUUACAGCCUGACUGACUGACACCCACACCGUUUACAGCCUGACUGACUGACACCCACACCAUUUACAGCCUGACUGACUGACACCCACACCGUUUACAGCCUGACUGACUGACACCCACACCAUUUACAGGCUGACUGACACCCACACCAUUUACAGCCUGACUGACACCCACACCCUUUACAGCCUGACUGACUGACACCCACACCAUUUACAGCCUGACUGACUGACACCCACACCCUUUACAGCCUGACUGACUGACACCCACACCAUUUACAGGCUGACUGACACCCACACCAUUUACAGCCUGACUGACUGACACCCACACCAUUUACAGCCUGACUGACACCCACACCAUUUACAGCCUGACUGACUGACACCCACACCCUUUACAGCCUGACUGACUGACACCCCCACCAUUUACAGCCUGACUGACUGACACCCACACCCUUUACAGCCUGACUGACUGACACCCACACCAUUUACAGCCUGACUGACACCCACACCAUUUACAGCCUGACUGACUGACACCCACACCAUUUACAGCCUGACUGACACCCACACCAUUUACAGCCUGACUGACUGACACACACACCAUUUACAGCCUGACUGACUGACACCCACACCAUUUACAGCCUGACUGACUGACACCCACACCAUUUACCCCUUCGUGUUGGCACAUCGAAGAGCAGCAUCUUAGUGGUCUGAGUCACAGUGACAAAACUUUCAGGUAGGUCCACCCUUUAGCUGUAGAUGGAGCAGGUGCCCCCUGCAGAAGAAUCUGCCUACAUCCCACGCCAGAACUGGGCCUCGCUCCACAGACAGGGAGGAGGAGAAAGUGCAGCCAGUUUCCAAAACAGGCAUAAUUUAGAUGUGCCCAGGCUCUGAUCCAGAUGCACCCUGUGCUGAGACUGCAGAAGCUGCUGUCAUCGACCCCUCAGCACCCUACUGUGAGCUUUGCUCCGUAACCACUCCUGUGACAAGCAAACGAAUUAAAUAGCGUGAAGGAUGGCCACCCUGGACUCUGUCCACAGAGGUGCCAGCUGAGAGUGUGCUCUGACCGUGGCACACCGGUCCCUCCGGGCACUAAAAUGAGACCCUGUUCAUUUCGUGUCUCCCACCAAGCAGCUGUCAGGCGACAGUGGCUUUUGGUCCCCGUGUCCUGUGAGACAGUUUCAAACAGGUGGUCUAUACAGGUUUUAAAAAUUCCCUAUCCCAUUACUGGUUCCCAAAGCUAUCCAAUUCCCCCUCCUUCUUCUGGGGAGAAUGUUGUUAUGAACAGAAACCCUGAAUCGGAGGUUGCUUCUUCUUUCCUUUCUCCCACAUUAUUCCUCAGCCUCCUCAGAAGACCCACGACCAAACACAGGAGGAGUCUUCCCUUUGGGGCCGAGUUGCUUCAGAAAGGCUCAGAGUGGCUGACAAGCUUCUCUGGGUACAGAUGGGUGCACAACCAUCUCAGCAAAUGCCAAUGCUUUUCAGCAAAUAAAGCCCAAGGGGUGACUGGCGAUGGCUUUGGGGCUGCAGUAUGUCUAUGCUGGAUGACUGUUUGGGGGACGCAGCCCUUCCCUCUAUUCAAAGUGCUAUGUAGCUUAUAUUUAUUUAAAUGAGUUAAAACUUAUCUUCUUUGGAGACUUUUUUUUUUUUUUUUUUGAGACGGAGUCUCGCUCUGUCGCCCAGGCCGGACUGCGGACUGCAGUGGCGCAAUCUCGGCUCACUGCAAGCUCCGCUUCCCGGGUUCACGCCAUUCUCCUGCCUCAGCUUCCCGAGUAGCUGGGACUACAGGCGCCCGCCACCGCGCCUGGCUAAUUUUUUGUAUUUUUAGUAGAGACAGGGUUUCACCUUGUUAGCCAGGAUGUUCUCGAUCUCCUGACCUCAUGAUCCACCUGCCUCGGCCUCCCAAAGUGCUGGGAUUACAGGCGUGAGCCACCGUGCCCGGCCGAGACAUUUUAACAUAGACAAGACCAUCAGACUCAGAGGAGAACCUGCAGACCAUCUGGUCCAGUGUUCUAGCCAGGGGGCCACAGAAUCUCCCGUGUGCUCUGAGACCGCUGACGUGCUAUGGCCUCAGGGGGCCACGGAAUCUCCCGUGUGCUCUGAGACCACUGACGUGCUCUGGCCUCAGGGGGCCACGGAAUCUCCCGUGUGCUCUGAGACCACUGACGUGCUCUGGCCUCAGGGGGCCCACGGAAUCUCCCGUGUGCUCUGAGACCACUGACGUGCUAUGGCCUCAGGGUGCCACGGAAUCUCCCGUGUGCUCUGAGACCACUGACGUGCUACGGCCUCAGGGGGCCCGGAAUCUCCCAUGUGCUCUGAGACCACUGAUGUGCUAUGGCCUCAGGGUGCCACGGAAUCUCCCGUGUGCUCUGAGACCACUGACGUGCUAUGGCCUCGGGGGCCCACAGAAUCUCCCGUGUGCUCUGAGACCACUGACGUGCAUGGCCUCACGGUGACACGGAAUCUCCCGUGUGCUCUGAGACCACUGACGUGCUAUGGCCUCAGGGGGCCAUGGAAUCUCCCGUGUGCUCUGAGACCACUGACGUGCUACGGCCUCAGGGGGCCCGGAAUCUCCCAUGUGCUCUGAGACCACUGAUGUGCUAUGGCCUCAGGGUGCCACGGAAUCUCCUGUGUGCUCUGAGACCACUGACGUGCUAUGGCCUCGGGGGCCCACAGAAUCUCCCGUGUGCUCUGAGACCACUGACGUGCAUGGCCUCACGGUGACACGGAAUCUCCCGUGUGCUCUGAGACCACUGACGUGCUAUGGCCUCAGGGGGCCAUGGAAUCUCCCGUGUGCUCUGAGACCACUGACGUGCUACGGCCUCAGGGGGCCCGGAAUCUCCCAUGUGCUCUGAGACCACUGACGUGCUAUGGCCUCAGGGUGCCACGGAAUCUCCCGUGUGCUCUGAGACCACUGACGUGCUACAGCCUCAGGGGGCCCAGAAUCUCCCAUGUGCUCUGAGACCACUGACGUGCUAUGGCCUCAGGGUGCCACGGAAUCUCCCGUGUGCUCUGAGACCACUGACGUGCUAUGGCCUCGGGGGCCCACAGAAUCUCCCGUGUGCUCUGAGACCACUGACGUGCUAUGGCCUAAGGGUGCCACGGAAUCUCCCGUGUGCUCUGAGACCACUGACGUGCUAUGGCCUCAGGCAUGGUUCUGGCUCGGUCAGCCUGGGGGCUCUGGUAAUGUACACUCUAAAAAGGCAUCAGGAUUGAUUCUAAUCUGUGGCCAUGUUGAGAACUGUUGUAUAGAUAAAAAAGCAGAAGCCAAGGUAUUUGUUUAAACAUGUUUUGUGACAUAUUUGGGGGAUGUAACCCUUGGAAAAUGGCAGUCACCCUGGGAUUCCUGGACUGGUAGCUGUGGGAACUCCCACGUGCCAAAAGUGCAGCCCCAGACUCUCCAGGUAAAAUCAAGGUUCUGCUGACUGUUCCCCAGGUAACAUGCAAUGCACUUUGUUUCCUGACUGACUGUGGGUGUUAGUUCACUGCAAUAUAACAAGCACAUAUUAAGAAUGUUUAUGCCAGGCCCUCUGGGAAAUACCAUAUUUAUGUGCACGUAUGUACAAAUCCUCGUGCCUGCGUUCAGGAAGGAGAGGGGAGAGGGGUCUCCCCAGGCAGGCAGCCAGAGGACAAUGCGGCACAGGACGGUGCACCAGCUUCUGUGCUCUAAGCAGGGGAUUCUCUCUCUCUCUGCACUGGAAGAUAAGAUAAACGCAUUGCUUUUAAAAUGAGCCACCCUCACGUCCUCUUCAUGCCUCCGUGGUGUAAGCACUUCUAACCAGCUGUGCUUUUCUCAAGCCAAGAACUGAGACGCAGUUUCAGGACCAGACCUUUUCACUGGGGCCUAGAAUGUCAGCUCCCACAGCCACUUAAGGAAACAGAAGUAUGUGCAACAAUUUUACUCUGAAGGUAAAUGAAAUUCGUGACAAGCAGGGGCACAUGGAAAGUUCUAUGAGGAUUAGUUCAAUCCCAUUGGAGAAUCCAGAAAGAUUUCAUGGAUGAGGGAGGAUUUGUACUGGAUUUUGUUUGAGAAAAAAAGACUGCCUAGCCAAGUUACAUAGAAGGUACUUGGUAAAUGCUAAAUGGAAUAUCAAUAAACAAGUAAGUACUGAACCAGAUCGUGGCUUUGAUGUGUAAGCUCAAGAUAGAGUCAACAGUACAUGUGCAUGAGUGUGCAUGCCCGUGUGCACGUGUAAAUGAGAGCAUGAUCUGAACACAUGUGUGCUGGAGGGUGUGCACGUAUGCGUGCAUGUGUGUGUGCAGAUGAGUGUGCCCGUGUACAAAUAUGUGUGCAUGCCUGUGUGUGUGCAUGUUCUUCUGCACAGGUGACCUGCCCUCCCUCCUUUGUUGCUGCCCAUAGUUCCAGGGAGUUUCUGCCUCAAUCCCUCUCUCAGUAUGGUAAGCGGAACCCUGCCUUCUUCUUGGUAGCCCACUAUGCCAGAUUUAACUGUUUUAUGAUUAAAUAUCCUCCAUGCAACAUUAGGAAAGUCAGGAGUCCUAAAUAAGUCACGUGGUUUGGCACUUUAACAGCUGUGAUCUCAUAUGCGCUUCACAGUAACCCUAUGCAAUGGAGAUCAGUCAAUUAACAAUUGAGUUCAGCUGCCUGUCACUGAAAAGCUAAGGAACUGGAUGAAACCAGAUGUCAGGGUUUGCGUUCUCUCACAGAACGUGAAGUCCAAAGGAAGGCAUUUUGGAGCUGGUCACCAGGGAGCCAGCUGGGGUCCACCUUGUUUAGGGUCUAGAUGGGUGGUGUGCUGGCACAUCGUAGUGAAAAAUAGUGCUGCUUUCAUUUUACAGAUGAAAAACUCAGGCUUCCAGAGGCCAGGUUAUUUUGCCCCAAAUCACACAGUGAAGAAGAGCUGGGUCUGGAAUUCUAAGCCAGACUCUACACUCAAAUCUGUUUGACCCAAAGUCUGUGCACUUUCACAGACCAUAGGUAGACAAGCGUGUGUACUCACGUGGAGGAGGUGGGCUCAGAAGAAUCGAUGGCCACGGAGACCAUGUUCAUGCGUGGGCCAGGAGGAAUCUGGAGAGGCUGGAGCCUUAGACUCACUUUUAGUCUCGCUGUUUGACUGGAAUAAGCUGUCCUGUUCCUAAUCUCUGCAAGCAGACUGUUCUGGUGUCCCCAAGAUCACUCCCUUUGCUGUUUCAAGACAGGCAAGGGCUGGGUCUAGGGGUCCUGGCAGGUAGGGCUUUUCCGGUCUCCUGAGGUGCCACCAGCUACUGUCUGCUGAGGCUGCUCAGAUAUUUUCAUUCUAAUCCUUGAUAGCAGGCAUAGCUCUGCCGUUUAUAACCAUCCCAUCCACCUGACAUAGGUUCUUGCCGGGGGCGUUUGAAUUGGUGCCUCUCGGUCUGAUCCAACAGCCCACUGCGAUGCCCUGGCCAAGUGGCAGCCCUGAAAUGGUCCCAUUGAUAGGAAGGGUCCAGUACCGUCUGUGAUGCUGUGAAAAGCAUAGUGUUUCUCCUCGUUUCCCAGCAUUCCUGGAAAUAUAUGAAAUACAGGGCACUUUAUCUUGCCACAAAGUUAUUUUAAGAAGGAAAAUCAAUUUUAUUUUAUUUUAUUUUGUUUUUUGAGAUGGAGUCUGGCACUGUCACCCAGGCUGGAGUGCAGUGGCGUGAUCUUGGCUCACUGCAACCUCCGCCUCCCGGGUUCAAGCGAUUCUCCUGCCUCAGCCUCCUGAGUAGCUGAGAUUACAGGUACCAACGACCACGCCCAGCUAAUUGUUUUGUAUUUUUAGUAGAGAUGAGGUUUCUCUAUGUUGGCCAGGCUGGUCUCGUACUCCUAACCUCGUGAUCCACCCACCUUGGCCUCCCAAAGUCCUAGGAUUACAGGCUUGAGCCACCACACCCGGCCAAAAUCAAUUUUAAAAAUCCUACAAAACACACACUGUAAAUGCCGAGAUGUAUCUGUAUGUAGACCCUGAAGGUUGCACUGCGACCACUUCUGCAAAGCUGCUCACUCCACCUGCCUGCCUCACCUACUUCCUGCAGGGCUGUGCCUGCUCCUCAAUUCACAUGUCCAGUUUUUCUGGGACUCUAUUGAAUGCCCUAAUUCCCAUCCUUUCCUAGAGCCCUGUCUUUCUAAGCUAUAUGGCUCCUUCUUUUUCAGGCCUUGGAGAAGGUUGAACAGAUGUCACUGAAGUCACAUCCCUCCUUCCUUCACUGACAGUUCCCUCCGUGGCUGACACUUAGUGCUGGGUGUCUCCUCCCACUGCCAGGAGGUACAAGCUGCCUGCAGGCUUCCACCAGAGGCAGCUGCUGACAGACAGAUGCUCACACUGCCAAGGGCAGAGAUGCUGCUCCUCUGCCAGCUGCCCCAUCUUGUCUCUCUGCCUGCCCAGGCUCUGGUGCUCACAGUUGAACUUGACAGGUUCUUUUCCAGGCUCCUCAUAAGACUUUUUCCAUCCAAUAUUCAGGCCCCCUUUCCUCCAGGAGCAACCACAGGACCCGGCCACGAGCUCAGCUCUGUUUCUGCACCUGGCAGAAUGCCUGACGUACAGCAGUUGCUUGGGAAACAAAGUUUAGCUGGUGAGUGAACAAAAAGGUGCUGCAAGGCAGUGACCCUCCUGGAUCUCUACACAGCUGCCUGAAACAAAACCCUGCAUGCACCCUGCAAGAGAAUUCUGAAAACCUGGAGCCCACCACACACACACAGAAAUAAAACUCCUCUGCUUGUGCCCCUAAGAGAAUUCUUAAAACUAGGAAGCACCCCCAUUUUGAAAUAAAACUCUGCUUCACUCCCUAAGAGAAUUCUUAUAACUGGGAACCUAGGAACCCCCUCCUAGGUGGGUUCCUAGCGUAGCAUGUGGCUGAAUUCUACACUGUAAAUGUGCUGAGUGCGGCCGAAUUCUACACUGUAAAUGUGCUGAGUGCGGCCGAAUUCUACACUGUAAAUGUGCUGAGUGUGGCCGAAUUCUACACUAUAAAUGUGUUACAUGUGUCUGAAUUUUAUCCUUUGAAAUGGUUAAUGUUAUGUUUCUUUAAUUUCACCUCAAUAAAAAAUUCAUUUAAAAAAAUAUAUUGUGACCGUAAGCCACUAAUUUUGUGUUUUUUAAAUUUUUGCCAUGGAUCCCUUUGGUGAUCUGGUGAAACCCAUAGACCUCUUCUCAGAAUAAUGUCCUUAAAUGCAGAAAGUAAAAUACACAAGAUCAAAAAGGAAAACAAGUGUACCAAAAUACACCCAUCAAAUGAGCUUAAUCAUGGUACAGUCACACAUGUGCCUCUUUAACACAUCGUGCUGGUAUGAUAGAUACCGGUUUUCGUACAAGGCUCCUGGCUCAUAACUCCCACGCCUCUUGUUACAGUCUUUUGUUAUAACCUUGGCUGUGUUAGGUCUCAGGGGCAGCCUCUGACCUCUUGC
rnacentral:lncRNA from 1 species